rnacentral:rRNA from 1 species
CUCCGUAGGGGGAACCUGCGGAGGGAUCAUUACACAAAUAUGAAGGCGGGCUGGAACCUCUCGGGGUUACAGCCUUGCUGAAUUAUUCACCCUUGUCUUUUGCGUACUUCUUGUUUCCUUGGUGGGUUCGCCCACCACUAGGACAAACAUAAACCUUUUGUAAUUGCAAUCAGCGUCAGUAACAAAUUAAUAAUUACAACUUUCAACAACGGAUCUCUUGGUUCUGGCAUCGAUGAAGAACGCAGCGAAAUGCGAUAAGUAGUGUGAAUUGCAGAAUUCAGUGAAUCAUCGAAUCUUUGAACGCACAUUGCGCCCUUUGGUAUUCCAAAGGGCAUGCCUGUUCGAGCGUCAUUUGUACCCUCAAGCUUUGCUUGGUGUUGGGCGUCUUGUCUCUAGCUUUGCUGGAGACUCGCCUUAAAGUAAUUGGCAGCCGGCCUACUGGUUUCGGAGCGCAGCACAAGUCGCACUCUCUAUCAGCAAAGGUCUAGCAUCCAUUAAGCCUUUUUUUCAACUUUUGACCUCGGAUCAGGUAGGGAUACCCGCUGAACUUAAGCAUAUCAAA